CGGCACAGUCCAGUGAAAAGUGCCGUAGAGUUACGACCUCGAUCCCAAGAUCGCUGAGCCGCCACUGUUGUUGUGGCGGCCUUAGCCGUUAGAUAAAGUUCAAUUAAAGAUAAUUAACACAUUGCGAGGCAAUCCCAUGGAAAUCUAAAUACUACUUAAGUACAACUGUAGAAGCACUGAGCUAUUGUACAAAGCAAUCGACAGAAAUAUUUAAAGAUAAAAAUGUAUUGAAAUAUUAUACAUCCACAAAUCGAAAGUACAUUACGAUAAAAGCAGCUUGAACUAAAAUACAACUGGUAUUCAAGUUUAUCCUGCUAAUAGAAAGAUAUCAAUCAAGAAGCACAGCUAGAAAAAUACAAUUGACGUAUAAAUAAUGUAUUUUAAUAUUCUCGAAAGUAUAUUACGAUAAAAGCAGCUGGAACUAAAAUACAACUGGUAUUCAAGUUUAUCCUGCUAAUGCAAAGCUAUUAAUCAAGAAAACCAGCUCAAAAAUAUGAUAACUACAUAAAUAUAUAAAUAACUACAGAAUUUUUUUGACACUGGACAAAUGACAAAAUUACUUAGGAAUGACAACAAAAAAAGUCACGCGCUCAUGGAACUAUUCAAAAAUUAAAACAUUCAAUCAAACAACAAAAAUUCGAAACUGACAAUCAUUUGAUUGAUACACCGUCGACUUCAGCAAUUUUCGUUACCCAGGCUGAAUUACUACAUAUAAUACCACAUCA